CCUACGGGAGGCUGCAGUAGGGAAUCUUCCACAAUGGGCGAAAGCCUGAUGGAGCAACGCCGCGUGGGUGAAGAAGGUCUUCGGAUCGUAAAACCCUGUUGUUAGAGAAGAAAGUGCGUGAGAGUAACUGUUCACGUUUCGACGGUAUCUAACCAGAAAGCCACGGCUAACUACGUGCCAGCAGCCGCGGUAAUACGUAGGUGGCAAGCGUUAUCCGGAUUUAUUGGGCGUAAAGGGAACGCAGGCGGUCUUUUAAGUCUGAUGUGAAAGCCUUCGGCUUAACCGGAGUAGUGCAUUGGAAACUGGGAGACUUGAGUGCAGAAGAGGAGAGUGGAACUCCAUGUGUAGCGGUGAAAUGCGUAGAUAUAUGGAAGAACACCAGUGGCGAAAGCGGCUUUCUGGUCUGUAACUGACGCUGAGGUUCGAAAGCGUGGGUAGCAAACAGGAUUAGAUACCCCUGUAGUC
rnacentral:rRNA from 1 species